ACGGUCACUUUCGGGUGAUAGUGGCGGACGGGUGAGGAACACGUGAGAAUCUGCCUUUAGGUCGGGGACAACAGUGGGAAACUACUGCUAAUACCGGAUGAGCUGAGAAGUAAAAGAUUAAUCGCCUAAAGAGGAGCUCGCGUCUGAUUAGCUAGAUGGUAGUGUAAGGGACUACCAUGGCCACGAUCAGUAGCUGGUCUGAGAGGAUGAGCAGCCACACUGGGACUGAGACACGGCCCAGACUCCUACGGGAGGCAGCAGUGGGGAAUUUUCCGCAAUGGGCGAAAGCCUGACGGAGCAAUACCGCGUGAGGGAGGAAGGCUCUUGGGUUGUAAACCUCAGAACUUAGGGAAGAAAAAAAUGACGGUACCUAAUAUAAGCAUCGGCUAACUCCGUGCCAGCAGCCGCGGUAAUACGGGGGAUGCAAGCGUUAUCCGGAAUCAUUGGGCGUAAAGCGUCCGUAGGUGGCAAUUCAAGUCUGCUGUCAAAGACCGAAGCUCAACUUCGGGUAGGCGGUGGAAACUGAAGAGCUAGAGUAUAGUAGGGGUAGGGGGAAUUCCUAGUGUAGCGGUGAAAUGCGUAGAGAUUAGGAAGAACACCAGUGGCGAAGGCGCUCUACUGGGCAUAUACUGACACUGAGGGACGAAAGCUAGGGUAGCGAAAGGGAUUAGAUACCCCUGUAGUCCUAGCGGUAAACGAUGGAUACUAAGUGUUGUCUGUAUCGACCCAGACAGUGCUGAAGCAAACGCGUUAAGUAUCCCGCCUGGGGAGUACGCACGCAAGUGUGAAACUCAAAGAAUUGACGGGGACCGCACAAGCGGUGGAGUAUGUGGUUUAAUUCGAUGCACGCGAAGAA
rnacentral:rRNA from 1 species